UUGUAAUUCCAAUAGAUUUCGCAGAGAUGUCGCCACUGCGCAGUGAUCACAUCUGUGACGUCAACAUCAAAGAUGGCCGUUACUUAGCUCCGCCUUCGUGAUUUUAGAAUCAAAUUUAAACCCAACCCACUUCGUCACGUGACCAAGUCCCUCCCAUUCACCAACACUGCGCCGCCAUUUUGAUACCGAGUGUUGAACUUCAUUCUCUCAAUAGACCUACGUUCGAACGCACACCUAACCAAGAAUUUUCGCGUUUGUAAUCGUUUUCGUUUGUUUUUGUGUACGAUUUUUGUUCAUCGCAAGAACAAAAAAGAUUUAAAAAGUGUUUUGUUGUUGUUAAACAAUCGAUCUACAACACGUGUGUUUCCCCUCCACUAAGUGGUUUGUGUGUAGUGUAGACUCGUGCUGACCUCUAACGGCUAGUUAUCAAAGCUAACGUGUUCGAUAAAUACAGAAAUCUGUAAAGUUUCUUUGGUUUUAUGGACCCUUAAAAUUAAUGUGGAUCUGACAAACUGACUACCUUCGGUUUAUUGGUAUAAAAAAUAGUUUGAAAUGAUGUACUUUUUUGUUUCAAAUAAAUUAAUAAGAAUUUUUUGGUUUUU